rnacentral:rRNA from 1 species
UAGGAGGGGUCCUAGCGUUGCUCGGAAUCAUUGGGCGUAAAGCGGGUGUAGGCGGACAACCAAGUCAGAUGUGAAAGCCCCAGGCUCAACCUGGGAAGUGCAUUUGAAACUGGUUAUCUUGAGUGCAGUAGAGGAAGGUGGAAUUCCAAGUGUAGUGGUGAAAUACGUAGAUAUUUGGAGGAACAUCGGUGGCGAAGGCGACCUUCUGGACUGUUACUGACGCUGAGACCCGAAAGCGUGGGGAUCAAACAGG